UUCAAUCCGCCAUCUGCAGUGGAGUCCCCACCAAGAUGCAGAUUUUCGUGAAAACCCUCCCGGGGAAGACCAUCACUCUCGAGGUUGAACCCUCAGAUAGGAUAGAAAAUGUAAAGGCCCAGAUCCAGGAUAAGGAAGGAAUUCCUCCUCACUGAUCUUUGCUGGCAAGCAACUGGAAGAUGGACAUACUUUGUCUGACUACAACAUUCAAAAGGAGUCCACUCUUCCUCUUGUGUUGAGACUUCAUGGUGGUGCUAAGAAAAGAUAGAAGAAGUCUUACACCACUCCCAAGGAGAACAAGCAUAAGAGAAAGAAGGUUAAGCUGGCUGUCCUGAAAUACCACGAAGUGGAUGAGAAUGGCAAAACCAGUCACCUUUUUCAGGAGUGCCCUCAGACGAAUGUGGUGCUGGAGUGUUUAUGGCCAGCCACUUUGACAGACAUUAUUGUGGCAAAUGUUUCAACAAACCAGAAGACGAGCAAUUCUCACGCUGGUUCCAGGCCAACGCCCAAGCUCUUCAGCGUGAGAGACCCUCCGGGUCUGGCUCUUCGCAGCCAUAUGCCCAUGUGGAAACUACCGCCUCAUCAGAGCUCGAUAUGAACUCCUUCGUGGUGGAGCGGCAGCCCUGCAUGCCCACGCACCCACAGAGGCCGCUGGUCCUGAAGACGGGCGUGCAGUUCACCGUGAAGCUGAGGUGA